CAUCGUCUCAGUAUUCCAACAUUCCAACCCUUAGUUAGAAGAUGAGGGUAAGAGUCACUGAAGGUAAAUAACUUUCAAGGGCUUCAGAGGUCAUUUAGUCCGGCCAAUAACUGGGAGAGGACCAAAGAACUUAAUUUUAAAGCCUGGAUCUGAAAUUUUUCAACUUCUUUUGUUAUGAAGUGAUUUCCAGCAGGAGUGAUGCAAAAGCUGAAAGGCUUCAUACUACAGGAAGAGGAUAUGGUUAAAGGCACCAGGAUGUCUACAAAACAGAUUUAUUUCCAUCUCAGCAGGAGGCAGCCAUGUUUCUCUAAGUGUUGAUUAAACUGUUCCUCCAUGGUG